AGGUCAUUUCAAAGAGAGCUUGUGGGACCAAAACCAGGAGCUCUUAACACUGUGACCAAAGAUUAAAGUUCUCCAUAGGAUAUGAUAGUCACUCAAUAGUGUUAUAUUUUUUGAGGAGAUAUGAUU
ensembl:snoRNA